AGUGGUUAAGUGUUUGGCUGUUAACCAAAAGGUCAGUGGUUCAAAUCCACCAGCCGCUU
rnacentral:tRNA from 1 species